AAGCAUGUUUAUAACCUGCAACAUAAAUAUAAGUCAACUAUAAGCUGCAUUUAAUAACAGGCGAAAUUAUACAAUAAGAUGACCCUGUUUCUUAGAAGACAGAAAUCUGAAGUUAUUAUGUGACGCUCGCGACACAAUAUCUCUUUGUAAUACAAAAUGGCGUUGUAUUGAUGGCGUAAUGAACCGCUACAGUGAUUUAGUGACUUUUGUAGCGGCAAAGGCUUUUCACGCAGACAAAGUCACGAGCAACACCUGGUACUUUAUAUGCGAGAAUAGCAUUUCUACAAUGCUUUAAAUACGACCAAAUGAUAUAACCAAAACAACUCAAACACCUACGUGCUCCGUAAUUGAGCCGGGUAAUCCACAAGACCAACGCGUUUAACCUAAGUGUGUGAGGAAGACAAAUUGAGCCGCUGUCCUCGUAA
rnacentral:lncRNA from 1 species